UAGGGAAUCUUCGGCAAUGGACGAAAGUCUGACCGAGCAACGCCGCGUGAGUGAAGAAGGUUUUCGGAUCGUACAACUCUGUUGUUAGAGAAGAACAAGGACGUUAGUAACUGAACGUCCCCUGACGGUAUCUAACCAGAAAGCCACGGCUAACUCCGUGCCAGCAGCCGCGGUAAUACGUAGGUGGCAAGCGUUUUCCGGAUUUAUUGGGCGUAAAGCGAGCGCAGGCGGUUUCUUAAGUCUGAUGUGAAAGCCCCCGGCUCAACCGGGGAGGGUCAUUGGAAACUGGGAGACUUGAGUGCAGAAGAGGAGAGUGGAAUUCCAUGUGGAGCGGUGAAAUGCGUAGAUAUAUGGAGGAACACCAGUGGCGAAGGCGGCGCUCUGGUCUGUAACUGACGCUGAGGCUCGAAAGCGUGGGGAGCAAACAGG
rnacentral:rRNA from 1 species